AACGAACGCUGGCGGCAGGCCUAACACAUGCAAGUCGAGCGGGCGUAGCAAUACGUCAGCGGCAGACGGGUGAGUAACGCGUGGGAACAUACCUUUUGGUUCGGAACAACCCAGGGAAACUUGGGCUAAUACCGGAUAAGCCCUUACGGGGAAAGAUUUAUCGCCGAAAGAUUGGCCCGCGUCUGAUUAGCUAGUUGGUGAGGUAAUGGCUCACCAAGGCGACGAUCAGUAGCUGGUCUGAGAGGAUGAUCAGCCACAUUGGGACUGAGACACGGCCCAAACUCCUACGGGAGGCAGCAGCGGGGAAUAUUGGACAAUGGGCGCAAGCCUGAUCCAGCCAUGCCGCGUGAGUGAUGAAGGCCCUAGGGUUGUAAAGCUCUUUUGUGCGGGAAGAUAAUGACGGUACCGCAAGAAUAAGCCCCGGCUAACUUCGUGCCAGCCGCCGCAGUAA
rnacentral:rRNA from 1 species